rnacentral:rRNA from 1 species
AGGACUAACGCUGGCGGCGUGCCUAACACAUGCAAGUCGAACGAAGUAGCAAUACUUAGUGGCAGACGGGUGAGUAACACGUAGUCAACCUGCCCUUCAAUGGGGGAUAACUAGCCGAAAGGUUAGCUAAUACCGCAUACGAUCUCUGAGUGGCAUCACUCGGCGAUGAAAGGAGUAAUCCGUUGAAGGAGGGGACUGCGUCCCAUUAGUUAGUUGGUGGGGUAAUGGCCUACCAAGACUCCGAUGGGUAGCUGGCUUGAGAGAGCGACCAGCCACACUGGAACUGAGACGCGGUCCAGACUCCUACGGGAGGCAGCAGUGAGGAAUUUUCCGCAAUGGGGGAAACCCUGACGGAGCGACGCCGCGUGUGGGAAGAAGGCCUUCGGGUCGUAAACCACUGUCGAGGGGGACGAGUAUUGACGGUACCCCUGGAGGAAGCCCCGGCUAACUACGUGCCAGCAGCCGC